GGGUCAAUAGCGAAGCUGGUUUUGCAUCUGUCUGCCGUCUACACACUUGACUACACUAAACAGAAGAUCUUAGUUCGAAUCUGGGUCGACCCG